ACAUCAAUGUGUGGGGGCUGGUCAGGGGAACUCUGGGCUGGCUCCACAGGAAAGGGCUGCACGGGCAGGGCAGGGAAGCCAAGUUCAAGUGCUUGGAGU